rnacentral:lncRNA from 1 species
CGCCCGGGUGCGUCAGCCUCCGGCCAGCACCUCGAGGGUCACGCCCUGUGUCGCACCAGCCGGUGCUGGGCUCUGCUAGCCUCUGAUCCCUUCGGAUGGAGAUUAUUGACCCCUCCUAGAGACGGCUUUUGAGCACGCACGGUGGCGCGUUACUUCCUGCCACGGGGCCUGGACGAGGGUUCUGGGCCCCUUCGCUGCGCCUGCUCUGCUCACAAACACCGUUGUGGCUCUGUACUUGGGAAAGCUUUUCAAUUAUUCAGAGAUUUUAAGAAACAUAAAAAGCUUAAAUCGGGCGUGGGGGUGCGCCCUUGUAGUCCCACCUAACUCGGAAGGCUGAGGCAGGAGGAUGUCACGAGCCCAACAGUUUCUUCUGAUCAAUCUAGAUAACAUAGUGAUAGUUUAAAAAAAAAUUCUGAGGGCUGAGGAUUUAGCUCAGUGGUUCUGCUGCUUGCCUCGCAAGCUCAAGGUCCAGAGUUCGAUCCCCGGUACCAAAAAAUAAAUACAUAGUCAUUUCAAUUAAAAAAAAAAAUUCUGAAGAUCUCUUUCCAGGAAGUGCUGGAUGAAGAAGUUUUCAGUCUUUCCAGAUCAUUUGUCACUUCCAUUCCUGCUGCUUUGGUUCUCCUAUGACCUGGGGACCUCUACGGAUUGCCUGAGAAUCAAUAGACUUCAGCAGAGCACCUCAAGAGCUCUGGAAGAAAUGAAGUCUGCACCAUGCCCUGUGCCUGUGACAGUACCGAAUGCAACAGUGCUUUGGAAUCAGUGGACGGAUGGUUUCCUGGCCAUCAAUGCAGGCAGCCAGACUCGAGGCUGUCUCCUCUAUUUUUCACCAGAGUCCUCAUGACCCAGCUUAUUGUUCUGAGCCUGUCUAGCUAUCAGUCAACACACUAGCCUGGCUAAUCCUUAAUGCUGAGUAUACUGGGAAAUUUGUUAUUUAUAGGACUAAAGCAG